rnacentral:lncRNA from 1 species
CGGCCGCCGGCGACCUGGGCCUACUUCCACUUCCGGGGUCACCAGGGAAGAGACGGGAAGGAAAAGAAAUAGCGGUUGGCUGAGAGGCAAGCCAAUCCAGCUAGGGCUGCGUCGACUCCAAGGAGGCGGUCCUAAGGAAGUACUGGCCCCGCCAUUUAAAGGCCCCUCCCUCCGCGUGUGGGAAUGGGAUUCCCGCAGGUUGCACCGCAGGAAGCAAGACAAAACCAGGGAGCUCAGAAGAGUCACUGCCCUGAUCCCUUCCGUGCCGGCAGCUGCGAGGACACAGGCCCCUUUGUAUCCUGCGGUGCGGAGGUGGAGCAGAGGAGAGGGUGCCCCGGCUGGCCCCCUCCCUCGCCCCGCAGCACUGCCCCUCCUUUCACAGCAACCCACGGCCUCCCCCGCGCUUGACCCAGCUGGCGAGCUGCCCCUUAUACCUGGAUCCGCCCCUCGGGUCGCAGCUCCCCAGGCCCGAUCACCGAGCGGUGCCUAGGAACUGGGAGCGUAACUUGGCUCGGCUCAGAACUUUGCCCGUGAGCCAAAGAACACUGAACUCAUCUACCUGCUGCUUGACAUCUCAUCUGCAUACCAAGCUAUUUGGUGGACGUCCACAAGCGCCCCCGCCCCCACGUAGACCCAGUUGGGUCCCCGUUCCGUCGGUCCCCUCCUCUGCACACGCCUCUAGCCUUAUACCCCGUCUUGAUCCGAAAGUUUUUCCACCCAUGAACCCCCAGUUGGCGCUCCCCGACCAGCAAAAGCCCCUUCCCUGGUCCACGAUCCCGACCACCCGGUUCUCCAGGAGACAAUACUCCAAUUCUCUGGAAAGUGGAAGAAACCAAGCUGAAGCUAGGGGGGCGCUGGGACCCCUAUUGGGGCUUUGAGAGCUUCCGGUUGUCAUCUCCUAAGUAUUCGGAGACCCUUCUCCAAAACUCUUGGGGUGACCCUCAAGACUCUUACCUGCUAUAUAGUUGGGGGUCUCUGGUCCUGGACUAGAGCAGUAGGCAACCUGGGUCCCCCCACACACACGGGAAAGAAUUGGAGGGGCCUGCCUUGUGAUGUCACCCCUCCUCCCCCCACCGCGCGCACGCGCGCGCGCACACACACAAACACAAACACACACCCCAACACACACGCCCUGUCCCCUUUCUCCACCCUGCAAGCUAGUUGCAUUUAGCUCACAGAGCCUGGGCUGCGACUUGAAAGAGUUUAGGCAGCAACAGAGUGACCCUGGGGGUGCUCUUGACCGACAGCCGCACCCCCGGCGUCUAGGACCUCCGAGCAGGGAUGCAUCUGGAGGUCUAGGGAAGCACUUCCACCCCCUCCUCUCCUCAAUCCUGGCAGGAUGGCUACUGCUGCUUCAAGACAGUGACGUUUCUCUCCGGUCAGCUGUCAGGAGCGCUGGUGAGCUUCCUACUGUGCCACAAGGUGCGGGUGCUGGAGACACAGCUGAGCCUGGAAAUGAGAGUGGGCAUCGCCGUGGUCAUCAUGACUCCUCUGCGGCGUGGUCACCAUGUUGGUUCACUGUGUUGGGCUCUUAUUGACGGGUCUCCUGCUAGGCCUGACCUUGGGUGCCGGAGCCCUGCUGGCUUCUGAGCCUAUCUACCAACCACCUUCAGCCUGGGUGCCAGCUGGGGGGCUGGUGGGGCUGGCGCUGCUGGGAGCCCUGCUCACACUUCGGUGGCCACGUCCAUUCACAGUUCUGGGCACAACCCUGCUGGGUUCUGCAGUGCUUGUGGCCUGUGUUGACUACUUCCUGGAGGGGCUGGCACUGGGGAGUUGGCUGGGCCAACGCCUGCAGACACUUCCAGCCUUGCCUUCUCUCUGCUGAUAUAGCUGGGUCUUACUGGGGAUCUGGCCAGCCUUGGGGGCCCUUGGAGCCCUGGCCCAGUGGAAGCUCGUGCCUGAGGAACAUGGAGGCCACGCUAAUGAGUUACUUCCAGAGUCUUCAAGAGUGCCAACUGGGACCAGGACCCCAGACCACAGCCCCCCACACCGUCCUGGACCUGGAUUCUGACUGUGGUUCCACUGUACCCCUCACCUUAAUCUCUGGUUCUAACCAGACCUGAGCCUAGACUUCCACUUUUUCCCUUACCCCUGUGAGGGCCUGGGAACACUAGGUGGGCAGGGUUUGAGCCCACAGGACCUGCACACAAACUUCCCCACCUCUUGGACUUGGGGACAGGAUCUGUGCCUCAACCCAGACCAGCUUUGUAGGGAUAUGUUCCAAGAACAGAGAAGAGUCUUAUGGGGAAGGGGGAGGAAGGGAAGUAUGAAUAUUUACCUCUGACCAAUAAUAGAGGUGCCCUGGUCCCCAAAGAAAUUGACUCCCGAAUUCCCUCCAAGCCUUACCCAUAUAGCUUUUGUUUGUUUGUUUGUUUUCAGACAAGGUCUUGUUCUGUCCAGUGCCGUGGCGUGACCACAGCUCAUGACAACUUUGAUUUCCCCGGCCCAAGCGAGCCUCUCAUUCAGCCUCCUGAGUGGCUGGGACCACAGACGCCACACACAGCUAAUUUUUAUGUAUUCGUUUUUAUUUUUUUGCAGAGACAGGGUCUCCCUAUGUUGCCCAAGCUGGUCUUGAACUCCUGGGCUCAAGUGAUCCUCCUGCUUCAGCCUCCCAAAGUGCUAGGAUUAUAGCCACCGCACCUCGUCUUGAAAUAGCCUUUUAAAUGUUCACCUCAGCUUGCCUCACAGUGGUAAAAAUAAGCAUUUUUUUGUUUUGUAGGAUCAGGGAGCUUCCAAGGCAUUUGAUACCUUUUUGAUGGGAAGAAGGGCUCUGAGGAGCUCCAAGAUACCCCAACCUCCAGGCCCUUCAUUAGGGGGUAGUUGGGUUUCUGUUUGGCCUUUCCCCCUGGGCCCCAUAGGCUUAAACUACCCCCACCCCCACCUCCGCCUCCUACCUCAGCUGGGAGCACUGUCUUCCAUGGGGCUUCCACUUCUCUCCUCAACCUGGGGAAGACCACAGGGCAGUGCCUGCCUCAGGACCUGCCUUCCCCAAAAGCUGGCUUCUUGCUCCAAGGAGAGAGCAUUGACCCACCUGCCAGAGUCUUGCCUUUUGCCCAAAGGAGCCUGGUCUUCAGGGCUGCAUAGGAUGCAAGUGCCUUCUCUGCUUCUCACCGUGGGUGGCACUAAUUUCCUCCUUAACCAGAACUUUGUUCCAGCCACUGACCCAUUCUAACUCUUCCCCCUCUGACUCUCCUGCGCAGGGUCUGUUCCUGGUUUCCCAGAUGCAUAAAGGAAGACAUAUCCCUCCCCUGGGCAGCAAGGCUACAAUGGGAGGGAGGGAGAACAUGGGAGCAUGUGAAUAAAAUGGCAUUAAAUACUGAA